rnacentral:rRNA from 1 species
UACGUAGGGAGCAAGCGUUGUCCGGAUUUACUGGGUGUGAAGGGUGCGUAGGCGGCUUUGCAAGUCAGAAGUGAAAUCUAUGGGCUUAACCCAUAAACUGCUUUUGAAACUGCAGGGCUUGAGUGAAGUAGAGGUAGGCGGAAUUCCCGGUGUAGCGGUGAAAUGCGUAGAGAUCGGGAGGAACACCAGUGGCGAAGGCGGCCUACUGGGCUUUAACUGACGCUGAGGCACGAAAGCGUGGGUAGCAAACAGG